rnacentral:tRNA from 2 species
GGUAAAAUGGCUGAAUUAUAGGCGAUAGAUUGUAAAUUUAUUUAUGGGAAUUAAUCUCUUUUACU